GGUGGUUCUAGGGUGACAUACCGGGAUUGGGCUCCCUCCUCUCUGGUUCUGGGUGUGUCACCCGAGAACCACA
rfam:Myotis brandtii contig161458, whole genome shotgun sequence.